AACGGGAAUAAACCCGCUUCUCUCCCGUUCCGUUUGCUACGGUCUCUGGGUGACGCCACAGCCACGCCCGCAGGAGUCCGGCACGAGGAAGCGUGAGGACUGCGCGGGCCGCGGUUGCCCUGGUGUUGGCGCUGAGGAGAGGCGGCGCGGGUGCUGUGGGCGCACCGUGGGGCCGAGGUAGUCCUGGUGGCCCGCGUUGAGGGGAGGCCGGCGUGGGUACUGUGCGGCCGCACCGAGGGGCUGGCGGGAGCAUGUCGGAGGACAGCGAUCGGUGCGACCCCGACAGCGUCGCGGCUCCUGUGCUGGAGGCUACAGAUGGGGCUGAAGUGGAGGGCCAGGAAGAUGGAGGAGGGGGUAGCCCCGCGGCCUGCCACGACAUGUACAGAUACAUUAAGGGAGACUUGUUCACGUCCGAGAUCUAUAAAUUAGAAAUACAGAACCUUCCCAAAUACAUCGGGUUUAACGACGUGAAAAAGUUCCUUGCCAAAUACGGGCUCAAUCCUCACAAGAUAAAACUUUUCGGGAAACAGACAUUUGCAUUCGUAACGUUCAAGAGUGAGGAGGAGAGGGACCAGGCAAUGAAGGUCCUGCAUGGGGUGUUGUGGAAGAGCCGGCACCUCAGCGUCAGACUUGCCAAGCCCAAAGCUGACCCGAUCGCCAAGAAAAGGAAAAAGGAAGAGGAGAUGGAGCAGGGAGAGGUGAAGCGUCUGGCUGCCUCCAAAGCCAGUGCAGAGGAGCCCCUGAGCAAGCAAAUAGCAGAUGUUGUGACCCCGUUGUGGAACGUGCCCUACGAAGAGCAGCUGGCCAGAAAGAAGCAGGAAUGCGAACAAGUGCUGCAGAAGCUGACAAAGGAAAUAGGAAAUAACAACAGAGCUUUAUUACCUUGGUUGUUCCUCCAGAAGCAGAAGUAUAAUAAACUGUGUUGUCCAGUAGAGGGAGUGAAAGCAUCACCAUUACAGACUGAGUAUCGCAACAAAUGUGAGUUCUUGAUUGGGAUUGGUGUAAAUCAAGAAGACAAAACUGUGGGUUGUCGUCUUGGCAAAUAUAAGGGUGGUACAUGUGCUGUAGUGGAGCCAUUUGAUACUAUUCACAUUCCUGCUAUUGCCAAAAAAGUAGUAAAAGUUUUCCAAGACUACAUAAGGUCAACUCCUUACUCAGUUUACAGCCCGGAAACCUAUGAAGGUCACUGGAAACAGCUGACUGUCCGUACCAGCAGGAAUGGCCACAUCAUGGCAAUUGUUUAUUUUAAUCCUCAGAAAUUAAGUAAGGAAGAGCUGGCUGACCUGAAAAACUCUCUGGCAAAGUACUUCACGGAAGGGAUGGGAAAGACCAGUGGUGUUACUUCUCUCUACUUUGUGGAAGAAGGACAAAGGAAGUCUCCCAGUCUCGAAGACUUGCCUUUGGAGCAUGUGGCUGGUGACAAGUACAUAUAUGAAGAACUUCUUGGCCUAAAAUUUAGAAUUUCUCCUCAUGCAUUUUUUCAGGUAAACACGCAAGCUGCAGAAGUGUUGUACACUGCCAUUAGAGAAUGGGCACAACUGAGCCAAGAGAGCACGGUGCUUGACAUUUGCUGCGGUACAGGAACCAUUGGGAUUUCUUUGGCAAAGCAAGUAAAGAAAGUGAUUGGAAUUGAGCUCUGCCAAGAAGCUGUACAGGACGCCAAAGUGAACGCCCAGAUCAAUGAACUGACUAAUAUUGAAUUUCAUUGUGGGAAGGCUGAAGAUAUUGUUCCUUCCCUGAUUAACAUAUUAGCUCCUCAGAACCCCAUUACCAUUGUGGAUCCGCCACGAGCAGGCCUGCAUUCCAAGGUAAUUCUUGCCAUUAGAAGAGCUGAACACCUGAAAAAGCUUAUCUACGUAUCCUGCAAUCCCAGAGCUGCAAUGAAUAACUUUGUGGACCUUUGCCGGGCCCCUUCCAACAGGGUCAGAGGAGCCUCCUUCCGCCCCAUUAAAGCACUGGCUGUGGAUCUCUUCCCUCAGACCAAGCACUGUGAGCUACUGAUACUCUUCGAAAGGGCUGACUAUGCAAAUGGGAGCUCUGCUGAAGCAGCACCUGCUGCUGCUCAAGCCACAUUGUCAGGACAUGGCACCAACCCAUCAAACGCUGAUUCAAGCCAAGCAACUUGUGUAUGUUUAGAUCCUGCUCUCGAUGAGAAGGAAUCCGCUUAACUCCUGAGAGAGACUUGACAGAAACUACUUUUGCUUGUUAACAACUUCAAUACCAUUGUUUCUGUAACAUCCAGGAAGAAAAUCAAGUGAGUGAAGUAACAUCUGGUGGUCUUGCUCUUGAACCACUUGAAACAGCUUCAAAUCCAGUAUGCCAUGACUACAUUCAGAUACAACUGUUUGAAACCUGGGCUGAUUCUUAAUGCACCACCCCUUCCAGUGCACGUAUAAUAUACCACACUGUGUUAGUGAAUAGCAGCUGUGUAUCAACAAGUAAAGGACUGAGCAGUAAGGAAGAGCUGCCAACCAAGGGAACACAGUACUGAAUUCCUAAAGCAAGUGAUGUAGUCACAGGGAACUUUUAAGUGCCAGUACUAACUCCUUUCAUUCCUCAGUCUGUCACAAUAGCACCAGGCCUGUUGAGCAAGCCAGUAAAUAUGGAGCAAUCUUAAAUUUCCAUAAAUCCUGCACAUGCUGAAUCAUCAUGAGGAAGCAACAAACUCAUAUAGUAGUAAAAAUGCUACACUGUCCACAGCU